GUUUACAGUGUAACCUGUGUAUUAAGAAUGUUAAAGAUGAAAUUGACAAGAAUGAUAUGAUUUAACAAAACAUAAAAUGGCGUCUUUUAUUGUGUAUAUCAUGUUUACAGCAGGACUUGUUUUACUUGAGGAUCAAUAACUCAAACUCUUCUUCAGCUCGAUGCUUUCCAACUUAUCAUACAGGAACCUCAGUUACACAACACCCCAAGAAUUUCUGUCAUCCUCGUAAGGCCUUGAGUUUUUAUAAAGUUGUGAGAUAUUUAAUAAAGCUUAUAAAUAUGAUUCCAUGGAAUGCAUUUGUUCUCAAUAAGAAGGACCCCGGCCUCAUUCCAAGAACAGUGUAAUAAAAGCUUUAGAGUUAGUUUUCAUGCAUGCAAUGGCAACAAUGUAAGGUUGCAUGGGAAAACAGGACUUAAUGCAUGUGUGUUAAGUGUUGUCCCAGAUUAGCCUGUGCAGUUUGCAUAUUCCAUAUUGGUUCGCUCAACGUUACAGCUACUGCUCAGCAAAGAAGACAACUGUCUGGUGAAAGGCUGGCUGUAUUACAGUCCAGUGAUGUGGGGGGACGCGGCCUUUCCAUGUCCGGGGAUUGCAUUGUAGCGGACACUAACAAAAAACGAGAGCCCCGGUUUUGAUAUAGAGUUGGUACGGCAACGGCACCAGCCGGGCCUGCAGAAGCCUCAAGUCAAGCACGACCACUCCCCUGACCCCUAGCUUCUCCCAUUUGACAUCCAGCUUCAAAGGGUCAGCAUCGUUGAACAAAUUCCUCCUAUAGAAAAUUUUGAGCACAAAGAGUUUUCACACAUGGUUCUCAACAACCACAAUUUUCGUGUCGAGUGAUCCGCACUUGAGCCUGAUUGGUUUGUUAGACCCGAGUGCCGGAGAUGGGACAACCGUUACAGACACAAGGCCUUAUUGCAGCAGUUAUGGCAACAUGUACGGUCAGUUCUCAAUGUUGGACUUCACAACUAAUAUCAUAAUAAAUACAAAGUUGGAUAACUCGUUCCAUUCUUUUUGGGACAAACAGUACAACGGAAAGUAACAAGAGAAAAUCAAGGAAUAUUUGUAGAGUUUUAGUCAGAAGCGUAUGCUUACCACUGGGAUACUCCUGGACAGUCGUGACUUUACGGACAGUCCCGGUUUGUCCUCACAGGUGUCCAAACUGUCCAAAGAGAACGCACUUUUGACGCAGUUGCUAACAAAGAAAGGCACCACCGACUUUGUUGUAAACACUCAGAGCUUCCAUGGCCAUGCCUCUGGCGGGAAGUUCGACCAACAGCUGAAACAAGGUGCUAAAGGUGAACCCAUCAGGGUUUGUAACUUCCCACUCUAAUCCUAAACAGCCUGGCAUUGAGUCGGCGCUUGAGAAGGCGUUGAAAAAUGACAGCAGUUUUGUUGUGUGGUCCAAUAUGCUCUUUGAUUCUCAACCCGAUGUUAGGUAGAACUCAAACUGGGCUCUUAGCAAUAUCAGCGAGGCUAGAAUGUCAUCUCUGCAUCUUGAGCUUCAGAAAACAUUAUAAGCAAACAAGACAAACAUUAUGAAUGUUUAGGCAAUCCCAAUCCACUUAUACUACAACUCGCUCAGGAAAUUCAGCACGCCACCUUUUAACAUCUUCUCACAAGGCGCUAAAUCAACACUUCAAACAGUUGAGCCUUGGUGAGUUCAACUUUCAUCCCGACGAGUCACUCGAGGUGAAACAAUCUGAUCCACAGAUAGAGCAGGCGCUGAGUGACUCGCCUCUUAAAGUGACUGACCUCCAUAUAUCGCUCUCCAAUAAUAUGAACCUGAUGCCUGAGGAGCAGCGUUGUCCUACAUUCCCGGUUCAGGGUGGAGACUCUGGCGUCAAGACUCACACAAUCUCUGGCUAUGGCAGCAGCAGCAACAAAAACAGGAAGUAUUUCAGCUGAGCUCUGUGAAAACAGGGCUUAAUGCAUGUGCCUCAAGUGUUUUACCCACAAAAGCGUGUUAAGUCUGCCCAAGCUAAUUUGUGACCACACUUUCCUAAUAUACCUUAAAACAAAGAAUUCCAUAAAAGCUGAAAGUGUCGUGGCUGAUUAGUUUGUACAGGCAAAUCUGGAACAACUCUUUACGCUAUAAAUGCAUUUAGCCCAGUUUUUAAUGAGUUUAGAGUUGCACAUUUAGUUCACGUUACAUCAGCUUUUUGCUGACCUUUCUGUAGAAAAGUUCCUAUUACUGAUCAGGAAUUUUGUGUUUUUAAAUUGUAAAUUGGUCAAACUGAGUAAAUAAAUAUAUAUAAGAGUUGAUUUGAUAUUAGUUUUAAUCAUAAAGGGUCAGGGCAUAUUUUCAUACAUUUUUGUGCCAAAAUUCAGCCUCUAAACCAAAAGGUUUUUGUUUUGUUUUUCACAUGUAUAUUUACAAAAUUCCCCUUGCAUAAAUUAAAGAAAAUGCCUAUUAAAUGCUGGUUAAUUUUUUUUAACAAUCAUUGAAAUGCAGUCAACAUUCUAUGAAAUAAUUAUCUGCAUUUAUUUUUAAAUAAGGAUAUCUAUAAAUUUAAAUUAACCACCUGUCCAAGUUUUAAGUAUACAAAUAUGCCGCUGGAGUAAGAAUAUGCCCUGAAGAUAUUUAUUCAUUAUACCCCCGUGAUGAUUGGGGUAUAUAGGAAUCACCUUGGAUGGAUGUCUGUCGGUCUUUGUAAAUGUCUGUGGCCUGUGGGUGUCCACUUACAAAUUUAACGUUCAGCAUUCAAACUUUCAGGUAUUUUCAUUCUCAUAUGAGGUUGUGCAUCUAAAUUUUGUAUCAUAUUUCACUGAAAAUUACAACACUUAGACAAUCUAUAACAUCAUGCGACAUAUUAUGACUUGCACCAUUGGGUGAUAGUUUUGUCACAAUGAUAACAAAUUCUUGUUUGACUAGAAAGCAAUUACACCUUUUAGCUUAUAGUAUUUUCAUGCAGAUUAGAAGAUAUUGUUUUCUUCAAAGAAUUAAAAAAAAACAUAUUUUGCUUUGGGAUAUGGUCAGCCAUAUAACUUGUUAAUUGAAUGGUCAUGAAAUAAUGUUCAUGUCCAUUCUCUCAAUGAUUCUGCUUUUAUAUUUUGCAUACUUCUUAAGCAACAUGAACCCAACCUAUAAAUAAGAGCGGACAACUUUAUCAAGCAUUUUGUAAGAAUUAUGGUCCUUUUUUCACUUAGAAUAUGCAUAUUAUUGAUAAAUUUAUGUUAAAGUUUGCGUACCACCUCAAAUAUUUGUUAUGUCCCUUAACAUAUUGCUUUCAUAUUGAGUAUACUUCUUUACCAACAUGACCCCAAUCUAUAAACAGGAGCAGACAACUGUAACAGGCAUUUUGUAAGAAUUAUGGCUCUUUUUCCACUUAGAAUAUGCAUACUAUUGAUAAAUCUAUGUUAAAGUUUGCGUACCACAUCAAAUAUUUUCUAUGUUCAUUGUAAUAUUGCUUUUAUAUUUUUCAUACAUCUUGACCAACAUGACCACAAUCUAUAAUCUAGAGCAGACAACUAUAUCAAGCAUUUUGACCCCAUACAAUCACACAUCUUUACACAGCUGAACAACAACAGGCCUUCUGGACAUCCAAGGACAAUGGCUUGGUAAAGGUGUCAAGCUCUUGGGUCAGGAAUUUUGGGUAAAGCUCCUACCCCCAGGGUACAGCCAGUCUAUCCAUGGAACUCCAAACUUCCCUGCUCAGGGGCCAAGACUACCUCAUCUACAAGGGACCUUAUCCUUACAAGUUCAGUCCCAGAGAAAAAUGUUACCCAACUGCAACACAGGCAAUACAUCUCAACAGAAUGUUCAUCUUGACAAUAUCUAAGCAAAGUUCAAAAUUGAAUUCCGAUCUUGCACCAGGUCGAGUCUUCUACCAAAGUUUAAUGUUUAACUCAGGUCCGUCAGUCUCUUGUGUAACAACCGAAGCUAAAGAUGAAGUGCCACAGAGAGAAAUAGAGGUCACAACAGUAAGACAUGCAGAUAUUGCUGCUUCAGUCUCAAUAGCAACAUAAGCAGCAGCAGAAGCAAAAGCAGCAACAACACCCACAAUUCAACAAUCAACAGUGCCAUUGCUGAGCUCUUUCAAAUGUCGAGGAUCACCCAAAACCACUCGGUGCCAAGCAAUGAAAUUAUCAGCUGCCACUUGACAUGACCACUGUACACACCUGGGAGUCAGGUUUAAGGUCACAUCAGCUUAAAUGUUCACGGCAGUAAGAAAAUGAAAGAUCUUAAAGGGACUCGUUCACAGAUUGUGUGGUUAACAAGAUGACUGAACAACAUGGCAUCAAUGGCAAGGAAGAAGUUCUCAGGGGGGGGUAAUCACGUGCAAGUCAAGAUGGUGACGUCCAUGCCAAGACUGAAAACCCUGAUUGCAAAGCGUAGAGUCUGCUCGGGAAGCAUUUGCACACAAGGCACAAACACCAGCUGCAAUAAUCGUCUCGAUAUUCUGUCAUCGCCAUGUUGCAUGACCCUCAGUCUAUGAACAUAAAGAACCUUGG